CUGAUAGCUUACUUUCACUGACAUCUGUUUUGAAAGCGAAAAAGUUUGCUGCGGAACGCAAAUAGAGGCAAGUGUUAGUCGAAGAACGUUUCUGCCGUCCUGUGCCGAACCGUGAGUCCCAUAUCAACCGAAACAGCGCUCUCGAGAAACCGUUGGUAGCGGCUGAAGUGCAGCUGGAUGUGACAGGUUCGUCAUCAGGCAUGGACCUCCGGCAGAAGCAGUCAAGAGCUCGCGAGGAAUGACAGCAGAACACAUGGUCAUUAACUCCUGUCGCUGAGGCUGAGGGGAGAGCUGCGCUGUAGCUCCGCGUCACAGAAGCACCGGGAGCGUCCUGCGUUUGGGACAGCAGACAGACAGACAGACACAGAGCUACGGGACCCCCGGUGAAAGGAGAUCACUGACAGAAAGUGCCUUGUGAGACAGCAUCCCUACUUGAAGA
ensembl:lncRNA